CAAUAGCAGAAAUAGCUAGCAUAUUUUGUCUGCUUGUAACAGGGUAAUCCAUAGGGAAAGCGCGGUUCCAGGUGCCCUGCCUCACGCGACAGAAGGGUGGAGCUGAGCAGGAGGUGAAGGUAGAGGAGACCGAGAGAACAACUGGGAGAGGGAGGAGAUCUGGCUGAGGAGACGUGGAGAGAGACGAAGCAGAGAGACAUGUGAAGAAACUGUGCUUGCUACUCGGCUGUGCGCCUGUACCAGGAACUUGGGGGACAUGGAAGGAGAUACUUCAAGGAGACAGAGAUGAGGGUCUUAUGCACUGGAGUAUGUUUUGUCUUGAUGUGGUGGAUGGCAGAACCUAUUCGGAGAAGGCAGGCAAGCAACUGAGAAAGAACUGCAUCAAACACUUUCUGGAUGAAUAGAGGCAAGUCAUUCUACAG